rnacentral:rRNA from 1 species
GACGAACGCUGGCGGCGUGCCUAAUACAUGCAAGUCGAGCGAAUCAAUGGGAGCUUGCUCCCUGAGAUUAGCGGCGGACGGGUGAGUAACACGUGGGUAACCUGCCUGUAAGACUGGGAUAACUUCGGGAAACCGGAGCUAAUACCGGAUACGUUCUUUUCUCGCAUGAGAAGAGAUGGAAAGAUGGUUCUGCUAUCACUUACAGAUGGACCCGCGGCGCAUUAGCUAGUUGGUGAGGUAACGGCUCACCAAGGCGACGAUGCGUAGCCGACCUGAGAGGGUGAUCGGCCACACUGGGACUGAGACACGGCCCAGACUCCUACGGGAGGCAGCAGUAGGGAAUCUUCCGCAAUGGACGAAAGUCUGACGGAGCAACGCCGCGUGAGCGAAGAAGGCCUUCGGGUCGUGAAGCUCUGUUGUUAGGGAAGAACAAGUACGAGAGUAACUGCUCGUACCUUGACGGUACCUAACCAGAAAGCCACGGCUAACUACGUGCCAGCCGCCGCGGUAAUAC